rnacentral:tRNA from 2 species
AGGCGCGUAGCUCAGCGGGAGAGCAUUGCGUUGACGUCGCAAGGGUCGGCGGUUCGAAACCGCCCGUGCCUA